rnacentral:rRNA from 1 species
UAGGGAAUCUUCGGCAAUGGACGAAAGUCUGACCGAGCAACGCCGCGUGAGUGAAGAAGGUUUUCGGAUCGUAAAACUCUGUUGUUAGAGAAGAACAAGGGUGAGAGUAACUGUUCACCCCUUGACGGUAUCUAACCAGAAAGCCACGGCUAACUACGUGCCU